rnacentral:pre_miRNA from 1 species
AUUACCUGGGGAUCUUGUUAAAGUACAGAUUCUGACUCAGUGAGUCUGGGGUAUGGUCUAAGAUUCUGCAUUUCUAGCAAGGUCCCAGGUAAUGCUGG